UAAAGCAGCGCCGCAGAUUAAGCUUAUUGUUAUCAAAUUAAGAAGGUAUAUUUCACUUUUCUGCUCGAACGUGCCGUACCUAACCGCUGGCCAAAAACAAGUUGAAGGAGGUGUUGCCGAUGGCUCAGCCGCAACGCAGCACGUUUUUCUAUACCGAACAGCAGAAUUGGAUGCGCCCCGCGUCACCACUCACGUUAGAACAAAAUGCUAGCUCGCCGUGAGUUAGUGAAGGCGAACUAGUUCGCGGCCGAACCAAAACAUUGAACAGCUGAGUCAGCGCUGCGAGCAGAUCGCACAAAAUAAAGCACCUGUUCGGCGUGGGACAGGAAACUGCCCCAAUUCCCAUGAAUGUACAACCAAACCAGGCCUCAACCGUUUCGACUAUUUAUUAUUUAUUUUAGAUUCGGCAACAGCUGCUGGUAAACGGGUGCCAGUUUAGUUGGACAGUGCUGCCAGACCGAACACAUACCUUUAGAGUUUCCCGUUCCUUGGCGCUCAAUUGAAUUUUUAAAUUUAUCUGUUUCUCGCUAUCGGCUUACAACUUAAGACACGUACACUAUUAUUAAUCUUUGAAGUGGUGUAACUUUUGAUUUUUCUUCAAAGUAAGAAUUAUUUGUUUUGUUUCGAAGUAUAACCUCAAUGAGCAUGAAAAUUA